rnacentral:rRNA from 1 species
GAUGAACGCUGGCGGCGUGCCUAAUACAUGCAAGUCGAGCGAACGGACGCGAAGCUUGUUUCUUUCAUGUUAGCGGCGGACGGGUGAGCAACACGUGUAUACCCCACCUAUAAGACUGGGAUAACUUCGGGAAACCGGAGCUAAUACCGGAUAAUAUUUUGAACCGCAUGGUUCAAAAGUGAAAGACGGUCUUGCUGUCACUUAUCGAUGGAUCCGCGCUUCAUUAGCUAGUUGGUAAGGUAACGGCUUACCAAGGCAACGAUGCAUAGCCGACCUGAGAGGGUGAUCGGCCACACGGGAACUGGGACGCGGUCCAGACUCCUACGGGAGGCAGAAGUAGGGAAUCUUCCGCAAUGGGCGAGAGCCUGACGGAGCAACGCCGCGUGAGUGAUGAAGGUCUUCGGAUCGUAAAACUCUGUUAUUAGGGAAGAACAUAUGUGUAAGUAACUGUGCACAUCUUGACGGUACCUAAUCAGAAAGCCACGGCUAACUACGUG